GGAUUGCUCGACGAGCAUUCUCCUCUUGAGUGAUCUGAGUACUCUCGGCUCAGAUGCCUUUGAUCGAACAGAAGGAUGGUAUGCCUGCCUACAGUAAUUCAUCCUCUACUUGUUCACUAUGGCUUGAGAGCUAAUCGCAAGAAAGAGUCAGAGAUUGAAAAGAGGAUCACUGGACUCAAGAGGCAGAGCACCUUAGAUCUUUGUUUGUUUUGUGGUAUAAAACAAUGGACUCAAGAGGCAGAGCACCUUAGUCGGAGAAGCUGUUCCUGCUUACCCAUAAACUGUGAUAGCUAUUUUGCCCUACUUAGCCACUAUGCUCCAACUAUAAUAUCAGUUACAGAAAAAUUAAAAAAUCCUUCAAAACAUCCCAAUAUGGUAAAAUUCAAGCUAUUAAGAUCACCCUUUCCAUAAUGUGGUCAUCCCAAUAAGCUUACCUCAAAUGUGAUAGGCAAAACUGCUUAAAAUGCUUAUUAACUGGAAGACGAAAUCACACUUUGGAAAAAAGAAGAGCUUUUUAUGUGAUUGGAGUAUUGAACUAUAGCUACACUACAAGCAGGUGAUUGUGAUUGUCUUCUUGACCAUGGCGCUUUGAUUCCUUUGCUGAACAAGUCAAAGGAGGCGAACAACAAUUUUCCGAUGCAGAGUAAAGCCACGAGAAUUUUGUCACUGAUUUGUAAAAGCAAGCCGGAUCUUCCAUCUGAGCAGUUCAAUCCUGCCGACCUUGGUUGCCUGGUGACGUUGCUUGAUAACCACAACGAGGACGCAGAUGUGGUCACCGACAUUUGCAGCAUUAUGGCAUUGUCAAGCGUGGGAAUAUGGAGGCUGUGAUUGCGGAUGGAUUUAUGAAAAAACUGGUCAAUUUGAUUCAAACUCUGAAGGUUGGUAAGUCAGACCCUGAUCGAGUAGAAGAAAUCAUUUAUGUUGCUGCCGCAACAAUUAAUAUUGCUAUUGCCAGUGGGAAUGAUGCUCAGAUCAAGUACUUGGUGGAUAUCUCCUGCAUAGAGGUUCUAUGUGAUUUUAUUGCUUCAUGCUGUAGUGAAACAUUUAUGAGGGACAGUCUUGAAAGUUUAGAGAAAAUCUUGGAGUUUGGGGCUCCGUCUAUUGACUAUGCUCGCCGGAUUGAAUAGAAGAUUAAAAGCAUUCACUCUAGCAGUUCGCCUAGGCAAGUAGCGUUCUAUUUUGGUGAGUUUUUGCGGAAAUUGGACAAGUAUUUGGGAAUGAGUAAGCGGAUGGAUCUCAAGGACAUGUUUUGAGUCUUAUUUACAUUCUGUUAUCCAAGUACCCUGUAGAAUUAUAGAUUUAAAGUACCUUGAAAUUCUACGCACAAUUCAGUGUAAUUCAGUUAACUAUCUAAGUUUGUUGUUGAGAAUAUGAUAAAUCCAGUCCAAGAAUCUAA